CCUACGGGUGGCAGCAGUGAGGAAUAUUGGUCAAUGGGCGGGAGCCUGAACCAGCCAAGUCGCGUGAGGGACGACUGCCCUAUGGGUUGUAAACCUCUUUUAUAAGGGAAGAAUAAAUGCUACGUGUAGCAUGAUGCCUGUACCUUAUGAAUAAGCAUCGGCUAACUCCGUGCCAGCAGCCGCGGUAAUAAGGAGGAUCCGAUCGUUAUCCGGUUUUAUUGGGUUUAAAGGGAGCGUAGGUGGAUUGUUAAGUCAGUUGUGAAAGUUUGCGGCUCAACCGUAAAAUUGCAGUUGAAACUGGCAGUCUUGAGUACAGUAGAGGUGGGCGGAAUUCGUGGUGUAGCGGUGAAAUGCUUAGAUAUCACGAAGAACUCCGAUUGCGAAGGCAGUUCACUGGACUGCAACUGACACUGAGGCUCGAAAGUGUGGGUAUCAAACAGGAUUAGAUACCCAGUAGUC
rnacentral:rRNA from 1 species